rnacentral:rRNA from 1 species
CUCGUAGGUGGUUUGUCGCGUCGUCUGUGAAAUUCCGGGGCUUAACUCCGGGCGUGCAGGCGAUACGGGCAUAACUUGAGUACUGUAGGGGUAACUGGAAUUCCUGGUGUAGCGGUGAAAUGCGCAGAUAUCAGGAGGAACACCGAUGGCGAAGGCAGGUUACUGGGCAGUUACUGACGCUGAGGAGCGAAAGCAUGGGUAGCAACA